AAAAUAACAUUUAAUUGUUCCACCUGAAAACGGUUAUGACAAUUUGGAUAUAUGCCAAGGACGGGUGAGAGUGUCAAAGUAGUGCUUGAAAGGGGCAAUGAAGAAGAUGAUGAUGAGAAUUCCGAAGCUGCAUCUGAUCGCCAAAAUCUGAAGGAAAGGCAUCAAAUAUAUAAACUUGAGAUAUUAGAGGGAAAUGCCCGAAAAGUUAGUGCUGUUCGGAAGAACUAUUAGAUCCCACAGCAGUAACUCCGAUGGUUCCGAAAAUCGUCAAGAAGAAAUGGGGCAGUGAUGAAGACUCAAAUAACGGUGAUCGGGAUGAAGAUACAUUUGAAAAAGAGCAACAGGAUGACCUCUCGGAUGAUCAUUAUGUAAUUGCUGAUCAUAAAGAGGAUAAUGAGAGCCCCAAUGGUCAGUAAUUGUAUUACACUAAUUGUUCUUUUUUUCUCUUUUGUCAUUUCCCCUUUCUAAUUUCGUAGAGCUUCUUAAGAAGAGGUGAAGAUUUGUAAAACGGGAGUAUCGAAACAACAAUAUAAAUAGACCAACAUUGUACAAAUUUUCACAGAAUGAAGUGUCAAUGGUGCCCGGGGAUAAUGGCCUAUUUACUUGAUGAA